UACGUAGGUCGCAAGCGUUGUCCGGAUUUAUUGGGCGUAAAGAGCGCGCAGGCGGUCGUACAAGUCGCGUGUGAAAGCCCCCGGCUCAACUGGGGAGGGUCACGCGAUACUGUUCGACUCGAAGGCAGGAGAGGGUAGUGGAAUUCCCGGUGUAGUGGUGAAAUGCGUAGAUAUCGGGAGGAACACCAGUGGCGAAGGCGACUACCUGGACAAUUGCUGACGCUCAGGCACGAAAGCGUGGGGAGCAAAAGGG
rnacentral:rRNA from 1 species